rnacentral:rRNA from 1 species
ACGGGAGGCAGCAGCUAAGAAUAUUCCGCAAUGGGGGAAACCCUGACGGAGCGACGCCGCGUGGACGAAGAAGGCCGGAAGGUUGUAAAGUCCUUUUUGCCGCGAGGAAGAAGAUAGGGAGGUAAUGCCCUGUCGGCGACGGAUACGGCAGAAUAAGCGCCGGCUAAUUACGUGCCAGCAGCCGCGGUAACACGUAAGGCGCAAGCGUUGUUCGGAUUUAUUGGGCGUAAAGGGCGCGCAGGCGGAUCAGAAGGCGGGGUGUGAAAUCACGGGGCCCAACCCCGUGGCCGCACCCCGAACCGUUGAACUAGGGUCGCAGAAGUGCAACAGGAAUUCCAGGUGUAGGGGUGAAAUCUGUAGAUAUCUGGAAGAACACCGAUGGCGGAGGCGUGUUGCAGGCUGAUGACCGACGCUGAGGCGCGAAGGUGCGGGGAGCAAACAGGAUUAGAUACCCUGGUA